AACAACUGGGUUGCAUAAAGUAUUGAUGAAUUUAUUAACCUUGUUUCAUGAAAACAUAUCAGCAAUCAUUGAACAACAUAAGGAGGAGGUUAGGCAUUUUCCUAGUAUUGUGAGCUAUAGAAAUGUUUUCUUGCCCAGACUGGGGUUGUAAACAAGAUUACCUCUGUUGAAGCUCGAGUCUUAUUGGGUUAAGUUUUAGUGAUGUAAGUAGAAUAUUUGCUUGAAAUGUACUACAAUGACAGAAUUUGAGUUUGCAAGGCCAUUUCCAAUUUUCACAUGAACCCUGUUUCAUCUCCAUAUGUGCAGAUGCUGGGGGAGAAUAGGAUGAAUUUAUAUCGCAUGUAUUCGCCUCGAUGAAUCAAUGUCCGGUUCUCACAUUGCCUAGAGAAAAUGACGCUCUUGGACUCUCACCUUGGCAAAGGACAAAAGCCUUUGAGUUUCAUCCCGCGGAGAGCUUGGAAGAAAAUUUAAAUUUCGACAAAAUGAAGACCAAAUUAGCUAGCUUCAUGGAGCAAAAUCCAAGCUAAGUUUUCUUUAGAUUUUAGAAUCUGAAUUUGAAAAUGUUUACU